CGGGAAGNUAGCUCAGCUUGGUAGAGCACUUGGUUUGGGACCAAGGGGUCGCAGGUUCGAAUCCUGUCUUCCCGA
rnacentral:tRNA from 1 species